GUGUUCACUUUGGCAGCACAUAUACUACAAUUGGAACAAUACAGAGAUUAGCACGGUCCCUGUGCAAGGAUGACAUGCAAAUUUGUGAAGCAUUAAAAAAGAAA
ensembl:snRNA U6 U6 spliceosomal RNA